AAGACAGAGGUGGCGAGCGUUACCCGGAUUCACUGGGCGUAAAGGGUGCGUAGGCGGUUGUGCGUGUCGUCGGUGAAAUCUCCCUGCUCAACGGGGAGAGGUCCGACGAAACUGCACGGCUGGAGGGCCGGAGAGGGAGGCGGAACUUCCGGAGUAGCGGUGGAAUGCGUAGAUACCGGAAGGUACCUCAAUAGCGAAGGCAGCCUCCUGGCCGGUUCCUGACGCUGAGGCACGAAAGCGUGGGGAGCAAACCGGAUUAGAUACCCGGGUAGUCCACGCCCUAAACGAUGCCGACUAGGUGUUGGCCUCGCACAUGCUGGGCCAGUGCCGCAGCUAACGCGAUAAGUCGGCCGCCUGGGGUGUACGGCCGCAAGGUU
rnacentral:rRNA from 1 species